UCUAUCUAUCUAUCUAUCUAUCUAUCUAUCUAUCUAUCUAUCUAUCUAUCUAUCUAUCUAUCAUAGCCAAUGACAAUGCUUUUGUAGAGAUGCAGUAGGGACAGAUAAUAUAGUAAUAAAAGUGAAAAACACGUUUUUCUGGUUGUGGUUUAACUUAUAUUCCAAUUACUGCUUUGAAAACGGGAGAAGCACGUAGAUUUCCAUUUUUUUAAUUCACACGAAAGAAGAAGGAAAAAGCAGGGUGAGCCAAGUUGGAACAGUAACCUACACCAGAGCAAAAUCCAAACAAGGAAACUGAGGUGCCAUUUUAAUCCACCAGCCAACAGAUACCUUCACUUCCUACAAGAGUUUGUCCAUCCAUCCAUCCAUCCAUUUUCUACCGCUUGGUCCCGUUAGGGGUCGCGGGUGACUGGAGCCUAUCCCAGUGACUUUGGGCCUUAGGCAGGGUACACCCUUGACAGUGGCCAACUCGUCGCAGGGCUAACACAGACACAGACAAGGACAGACAACCAUUCACUCUCACAUUCAUUCAAUACGGGCAAAAAUUUUAGAGUUAUCAAUUAACCUACACAUGCAUGUCUUUGGACGGUGGGAGGAAGCCGGAGAACCCGGAGAGAACCCACGGUAACACGGGAGGACAUGCAGACUCCACCCAGAGAGAUUGUGUGAUGUUGGUCUGGUCCGGGAAUCGAUCCCACGAACCCAAGAUCUCCUUAUUGGGAGGCAGGAGCUUUAGCCGCUCUGCCACCGUGCACCCCACAAGAGUUUGUUUACUGGAAAAAAAGAGGAGGCAGUUUUUCGCAGCUAUGAGGUAUCCUGUCACUCAUCUUCCAGGGAGUCUCCGAAUUUUUUCAGUAGCCAAAUUCAUGAAAAAAGUAGCUCAGUGAUGUUUGCAAAGAUAAUCUUCUUUUUUUUAGAUCUGGUGAAGUAAUUCAUGCAAAUUAAUAAACAAAUACUGAAUACUGGUACAUGUAAAUGUACUGGUAAAAAAAUAUUUCAUCAAUCAUGAGGUCAGUGGAUUAUCCAGAGUGACUGGGGUCAUUGUUUCUGGGCAUGCUCAGUUUUUCGAAUUUAAAUUUUAAAUGCUCUGUAUCUGUCGGUAUGAUACCACUAGGGACAAGUGGAUUUCUUUUACAGAGAGGUGGAAAAUACUGUAAGUAAUAAUUGCACAAUAAACUUAAUAGAAUGUCAACAAAA